rnacentral:rRNA from 1 species
CGGAGGCAGCAGUGAGGAAUUGUUCGCAAUGGGCGCAAGCCUGACGACGCAACGCCGCGUGGAGGAUGAAGAUCUUCGGAUCGUAAACUCCUGUCGAGCGGGACGAACGGCCCGUGACCUAACACGUCGCGGGAGUGACGGUACCGCUAAAGGAAGCCCCGGCUAACUCCGUGCCAGCAGCCGCGGUAAUACGGGGGGGGCCAGCGUUGUUCGGAAUUACUGGGCGUAAAGGGCGCGUAGGCGGCCUUCUAAGUCGGACGUGAAAUCCCUCGGCUCAACCGGGGAACUGCGUCCGAUACUGGAGGGCUUGGAUCCGGGAGAGGGAUGCGGAAUUCCAGGUGUAGCGGUGAAAUGCGUAGAUAUCUGGAGGAACACCGGUGGCGAAGGCGGCAUCCUGGACCGGCAUCGACGCUGAGGCGCGAAAGCCAGGGGAGCAAACGGGAUUAGAUACCCGAGUAGUCAA